rnacentral:rRNA from 1 species
AGUGAACGCUGGCGGUAGGCCUAACACAUGCAAGUCGAACGGCAGCACAGUAAGAGCUUGCUCUUACGGGUGGCGAGUGGCGGACGGGUGAGGAAUACAUCGGAAUCUACUUUUUCGUGGGGGAUAACGUAGGGAAACUUACGCUAAUACCGCAUACGACCUACGGGUGAAAGCAGGGGAUCUUCGGACCUUGCGCGAUUGAAUGAGCCGAUGUCGGAUUAGCUAGUUGGCGGGGUAAAGGCCCACCAAGGCGACGAUCCGUAGCUGGUCUGAGAGGAUGAUCAGCCACACUGGAACUGAGACACGGUCCAGACUCCUACGGGAGGCAGCAGUGGGGAAUAUUGGACAAUGGGCGCAAGCCUGAUCCAGCCAUACCGCGUGGGUGAAGAAGGCCUUCGGGUUGUAAAGACCUUUUGUUGGGAAAGAAAAGCAGCAGGUUAAUACCCCGCUGUUCUGACGGUACCCAAAGAAUAAGCACCGGCUAACUACGUG